rnacentral:rRNA from 1 species
GACGAACGCUGGCGGCGUGCUUAACACAUGCAAGUCGAACGGAAAGGCCCUGCUUUUGUGGGGUGCUCGAGUGGCGAACGGGUGAGUAACACGUGAGUAACCUGCCCUUGACUUUGGGAUAACUUCAGGAAACUGGGGCUAAUACCGGAUAUGAGCUCCUGCUGCAUGGUGUGGGUUGGAAAGUUUCGGCGGUUGGGGAUGUACUCGCGGCUUAUCAGCUGGUUGGUGGGGUAGUGGCUUACCAAGGCUUUGACGGGUGGCCGGCCUGAGAGGGUGACCGGCCACAUUGGGACUGAGAUACGGCCCAGAAUCCUACGGGAGGCAGCAGUCGGGAAUAUUGCACAAUGGGCGGAAGCCUGAUGCAGCAACGCCGCGUGCGGGAUGACGGCCUUCGGGUUGUAAACCGCUUUCGCCUGUGACGAAGCGUGAGUGACGGUAAUGGGUAAAGAAGCACCGGCUAACUACGUG